rnacentral:tRNA from 2 species
GUCGCUAUAGUGUAAUGGAUAGCACAAGAAACUUCUAAUUUCUAAGUUUAGGUUCGAAUCCUAAUAGCGAUG